CAACUAUUUCGACAUUUUCAGUUGUUUUAAUUGCAUUUCAAUGAAAACGUGUAUUAACCUACGUAAUUUCCUAGCCUUCUCCUGCUACACAGUCCGGUGCAUUUAAAUGAAAUUUGCAACACAUUUCUGUGAAUCAAGUAACUCUUUUGACAAGAGUUUCAUGCGUGAAAUCAUGUCAGUGCAAUGCAGACCAAUCAUUAGCAGUGUCUACAAAAUGUCAGAACAAUGGACACUGUGAAAAAACAAAACGGGCUUUCAGUAAAAAACUUAGAUCCUCCCCUCUAAUCGCUUGGUUCUGACUUUCACAUGAUAUAAGAACUGUUUUUUUGGGGGGAGGGGUUUGUUACUUCUCGCUGACUCACUCAAUCACUAGUGAAACAACUGCUUUGACUUUUUGUGAAUACUUUCCGUUAAAGUUGACCAGAAAUUGAAAAGAACCAUGGUGCAGUUCAUGAUGAAAAUGAUGCUGUGUUUACCUUUCAUCAAGAAGGGAGAUGCGGAUGAACUCAGUCCUUUGAUUUUCAAGGAAGGCAUACUCCACGAUGAUAAACUGGGAGAGGCAUCGUGCAGUCGCUGUCCACAGUCUGAUGGUGCUGAAACUGUGAGAGAUGUGCGGUCAGAGCUUCACAACCCCCAGCGGCUCUGCAGAGUCAACAAAGUCAACGGUUGUAUCAAGUACCUCAUGGUCCUGUCCAACAUCAUAUUUACAGUGCUGGGCUACUUGAUUCUUGGGAUCGGGAUCUGGGGACUGAUAGACAAGGAAUCUCUGGACCUGAACAAAAUCAACUCUCUGAGCACAGACCCCAUGCUCGCGUUCGUUGUUGUGGGACUGAUUAUUAGUGUCCUUUCCUGCUCUGGCUGCCUGGGUGCUCUGAGGGAGAACCAGUACUUGCUGAAAUUCUUCACGGCUGGCAUCCUCAUGUUCGUGACGGCGGAGAUCAUAGGCGGGAGCGUGGUCUACGCCCAGAGGGACAGAAUCGAACGCUUCCUGAAGAACGGCAUGAUCCUGGGUGUCAAGAGAUAUCGGGACGAUCCUGAUGUCCGGUUCAUUAUCAACGAGAUCCAACAAGGAUUAAAGUGUUGCGGGGUUGAGUCUUAUCACGAUUGGCAAUUAAACCUGUAUUUUAACUGCAGCUCUCCAGGUGUCCAUGCAUGUGGAGCUCCUGCUUCAUGUUGCAUCAAUCCUCAAGAAAAUGGCACAGUUAUGAAUUCUCAGUGUGGCUUUGGCACUUUACACAUGGAAGAAGUGGCAGCCCAGAAUUAUAUUUACAUCCAAGGGUGCAUGUCACAGCUCACUAAUUGGCUUAACAGCAAUAUAGAUUCAAUUGGUGCAUUUGGUGUAAUUCUCAUGGUUAUUCAGCUACUUGGGUUAAUUUUUGCAAUGAAGAUACUGAGUGACAUUGAACUGAUCAAAGUACAUUGGUAGCAAAGUGUAAAACAGAACUUUCCUGCAACGCUUUAUGUUAAAUUUCAAAGAAUGGAUGGGUGGAAUCUGUUGACUGAACUGUUCUAUAUUAUUGUUGGCAUCCAAGCCUCACGUAGCCCACUCCUGAAAUGGAGCUUUAUAUAAAUCCCAGCUCACUCUGUUGUCUUUGACUGAAGUUUUUUUCUGAGAUUUUUCCUUCAACUUUAUUAUUUAUCCAAAAAAAUGGUCGUUAUGAGCAGAAUAUGGAGGUUAAAUGUACUGAGAUAAUUUAGGUGCAUGCAAAAAAUGUGAUUGCAAAUAUUAAAUAUUUUAUUCUGCAGCUCUGAAUGCAGUGUUAUUUAAUCUUUGCUCUUAACAAAUGUAGGUUUUCUCACUAAAUUAGACCACACAGACAAGCAGAGGUUCAAGGAUUUGUAAAUUACAGAUUUAUUCUAAUAUUGUAAGGUUAUACUUACCUCCAACAUAACGGUAUAAUUCAGAAGACCGAUUUGUUUAUGGAAGCUGUUGAAUUACCAGAAUGUUUUAACAGUCGUUUAUGUGAGUGAGAUGAGGAUUGUGUGAAUUGAAUGUAAAAGCAGAAAUUAUUGGAAAUACUCGGUGCAUCACUGAAUAUACACUGAGAGAAACAGACACUUGUUGACUAUUACCAGCAUUUUCUGUUUUUUUUUCAGAUUUUCAAGACCCUCUUGCCUUUGUGACUUGCGUAUUUGUGUUAAUAACCUUAGGAUAUGUCAUUUGAGUACACUGAUCUGCAGAAGCUCUGCAAGUCAGAUUAAAAUUCAAGAAUAUCCGAUGGCAUUUAUCAAGUUGUCUUGAGAACAUGAAAACUGAUGUCAAAAUAUAACUUUUUUUUUGUUACUAGGACGAAUUAAAUUAAAUUGUGCCAGCAACAGGAACACACAAAAAAGUAGCUAUGGAGUCAUGCACCCAACUGUUGGUGUGAUGUUAGUCACUGAGGUUGCCUUUCGAAGAAGGUGAAAGUGGAUUCAGGAGGAUCCUGGAUGACGGCAAGUUCAUGAGCUGCAACAGGCCACUUCAGAGGCUGAGGAGCACUUCAGGAGAGCUCACAGCUGCACGAUUUCUAGGGAGAACCAGAGCCUUUUGCCCCACCUCCAUUUCCUGGGCAUGAGCGAGGUGAAGUGUUGACUCAGGCUCCUUCUGUCUAGGGACACUAUGAUGGAACUGUGUUGGAGUGGGACCUGUGAGCCGUGGGACGAGGUGUGUGGCGGGGAACGCCAUCCUCUCCUGGUGGUUGUCAAUGUGACAGCUGUGUUGAGGUUCAAUGUGACUGGCUUCUUCCAGGGAGUGUUAGACGACCUGUGUGGGGGUUCUCUCAGCCGUCCACCUAGAAAUCCAUCAGGACAGUGACUGAUGCUAUCUGUACAAGAUUAUAGCAGUUCAUUUUAUUUCCUGACGAGGAAGUUAGUGCUGCAGCUGGGCAAUAGGAUUUCGGAAUGUAACUGGAUUUCCCCAGGAGCCAAGUACCAUUGACAGUACACACAUGGCACUGAGAAGGUUGUAUCACGAUGCUGAAAAUUCAUCAAAAGGGAAUGGUUGCAUUUGAUCAAUGUCCAAGUGAUCUAUGAACACUGUUACCACUUCUCAGAGUUGUGUGCUCAUUACCCUAGCAGCUGUCACAGCUCCUCAUCCUGGAGCACUUCCAUGUAUCUGUCAUUCCUCAAAGAAUUCCAAUAAAUUGGUUAAACAAAUUUCCCUUUCACAAAACCAUGAUGAUUCAUCCCAAUUACUUUAAUUGCUUUCCAAACGCCCUGUUAAAACCUCCUUAAUGAUGGGCUCUAACACCUUUGUUGGGUAUGUAAGAAAGAAAUAGAGUGGGAGAAUAAAAUAUAAAGGGAACAGAAAGCAGAGCUGGGGAAAUAUAAACUAGGGAAAAAUCGUUUCUUAGUAGUUAAUAAAGGUUGAAGUUUCAAAAGACAUUUAGUACUCAAAAACGUUCAUCUGCUCAGUUCCAUUUUAAUGAUAAGUGUUAGUGGCAAAACACUUCUUCUGGCUUUUUAAAAAAAUGCAGUCCAUGGUUUGAUUUUAUGAACCACUUUGCACAAUUUCAAUUUUUCUGAAUUUGAUUACAGAAAAUGAACAUACAAGUCUUUCUCUUUGUUGAAUGUACAAAAUUUAUAUCUAAGGGUUGGGAUAUGAUGAACUGGCAUGCGAUAUGUUCAAGGCAUGAGAAAUGUCCUGUUCAUGUAAUGUGAAAGGAAACUGGAAUUUAAUCUGAACAGUCAAUGAGAUAACUUUUGAGCAUUUUCCAAGAUUUUGUCAAAGUGUUACAUACAACUCUCUUCAUUACUCAGUGAGUUUAUUCAUGAGUGUGAAUAGGAACAGUAAAAUUAUCCAUACUAGGGAGGAGGUGAAAAAUUAUCUUGGAUAUCUACAGUCAAAUGUAAAUGAUAAUAUCUGGGAGUAUGGGCAGCAGGAGAGAAGAAGACUAGGCUCAGGAAUACUCACUGUCAAGGCUCAUGAACGAAUAAUGAGCAUUUGCCUCAGGCACAGGAAACAGUGGACCUAGAUCACAGGACACAGCCAAUCUGACUGAGACGAAUGGUGAGAUUUGGAGAGUGAAGGAUUUCCAUAAAAUGUUUACGUUAAAUUUUAAAAUGGUACAUUGUUCAUUUUUGCAAAAUCAGGAGAAACAAACACUGUAGAGCAAAUGACAAGGAAUUGGUGAAGACUGGCCUGAUUUUAACUUACUGAGAGCCUAUGCUCUUGCACAGACUUAAAAUCAGGGUGAUUAAGCCUAAAUUACACUUCUGGAUUAUGAAUUUAAAUGAUCCAUAUGCCCAACUUUAUCCAUAAUUACAUUGUGAAAUGUCAGUCUUAGGUAACCCUAUUUCAAGAAGGGAAACCAUUUUUAUAGCACCAAUUCUCUUUGCUGCUGGACAAAUAAACAUAUGAACUGUUGGAUGUUAGGCCAAGCAGCUGAAAUGUAUAUUUUCAACACUGACCCUGACCAUUUUAAAUUGAUUUUAGUUUUGAAUUGUUUAGUUAUAAUGCCAGUCUGCCAAGAGCCAUAGGCUGUGACUUCUGAAGGCCCUGCCGAACUGAUUGUGUUCAAAUUGUGUCCUGCGGUGCUGAACCCUGGGGGCAGCAGGUCACUGGGAAGACAUUAUAUUUUACAAGGCUUAUAGAUACCCUUGUCAGUCAAUUGUUCCACUUCCAGUUGUUCUCAGUAUACUAAAACCCCAAAUGCAUUCAUACAACCAGAAAGAGAUGCCUAGUUUCUCCCUCCAAGAAAUCAUUGGGACUGCCCUGACGUACCCAGUAUUGAACUGAGAAACAUUUUUAAGAAGGACUAAUCUAUUCUUUGAAAGUGCCAUUCUGUUUCCCUAACCUCCUCCCAUUUUAUUCUUGGUCUCCUGGUUUUGCCAAAGAACACUCACAAGAGUCUGUUGAUUUGAGAAAAACAUUAACUUCAUAUAACAAUACUUAGUGAUGCUUCAUCUUGCCGCAGUGCUGCAAGAAAUAACAAAAUUUCAUGAUUUUUAUAAUUUCCUGUUCUGAUUUAAAAAUAAAGGUAGUUGCCAUAGUCCCAGGGGACCAUAAGGUUUUUAUGAUGUAUACUGUGCCUAAUCAGCAUAUCACACUGCCAAGCUUUACUCGUUAUACUACAGCUACUGCUGCACUUUGUGUGGCCUCAUCUCUCUCAGCAUUCUGGUCAUGAAUAUUAAUGUAAUAAAACAGGAAGUCCUGAUAUAAGGAUUGCCCAUACCCCUCAUCAUGUGGGCCUAUUGGUAUUGUAAAAACAAAAAGUAAUUGUUAUCAUACUAGACUAACAGCCGUGGACAUUGUCCCACCCCAGUAAUUUGACUGUUUAUUUCUUGACUUAUGUGUUUACUCACAGGAUAUGAAUGCAGCUGGUAGAGCCGACUUUUAUUGCCUGUCACUCUGAUGCAUAAUCUGUUUUUUUUUAAAAAAGUGAUUUUAGUUGAUAGACAGUCAUUAUACAGUAGGCUGGGAAGAACACCCCUUUGAUUCUUUGAAUUAAUAUCCAGGGAUCCUUUACACUCACUAUGAUUUCUGCUUGUCUCUGAUUAGUUAGUGAUGAACAAAAUGGUUUGUAAAAUAUUUAAAUUCUCUACUUAGAACAAAUACAGUUUGAAACAUUUCAUUCCUUUACCAACAGAUGGGCACUGCCAUUAUUAUUUUGUUUAGUACAAGUUUGAAGGGAAGAUGUCAAUGUUGCUUUGGAUGUGCUGCAAGACUUUUCAUUCAAUGUUUUAUCAUCUACAAUCUUCCAUCUAUGAGGAAGAAUUUUCAGCAAUGGUUUAUUAUAUAUUGCAAUAUUUUAAUUGCUGGUCAAGUGCAGUGCUUGCUGUUACUGAAUCAAUGCGAUACUCUGAAGCGCCAGCUCCUAAACGUUUUUGAGGGUUGUACUAUAACUGCAGCUGGAAUCUGCGAAAAUGUUCUCAAGAAAGAAAGACUUCUCAUUCAGCUGAAUCAUUAUACGGUACCUUUCACAAUCUCAGGAGACUUCAAAGUGUUUCACUGAAUAAUAAAGUAUUUCUAAAUAACCACUGCUGAUAUUGGUGUGGAAAAUGAAUGUAUGUUUCAUCCCCACCUUGAUGAAGGCUAAGAAAGCUGUGUCUGAAAAAUGGCUACUGUGCGUUCAAAAUGCUAGUUGUUAGUGUUACUUAAUAAAUGUUAACUUGGAGUUUGUUACAUAUUAUUGUAAGUAUAGUAUUCAAUGUGCAAUAGCAACUUUUUGUAUAUUUUGACCGAAUGCAAACAAAAUAUUUGGCCACCUGA